UACGAAGGGUGCAAGCGUUACUCGGAAUUACUGGGCGUAAAGCGUGCGUAGGUGGUUUGUUAAGCCUGAUGUGAAAGCCCUGGGCUCAACCUGGGAACGGCAUUGGAAACUGGCUUACUAGAGUGCGGUAGAGGGGUGUGGAAUUCCCGGUGUAGCAGUGAAAUGCGUAGAUAUCGGGAGGAACAUCUGUGGCGAAGGCGACACCCUGGACCAGCACUGACACUGAGGCACGAAAGCGUGGGGAGCAAACAGG
rnacentral:rRNA from 1 species